AGAACAAGAAGCUCUGGCAGCUUCUACAGCGCUUAUAUAAUCAGAAAUAUAUAUGCGCGUUCU
rfam:Drosophila merina CG5558, CG11779, nos genes for hypothetical proteins, partial cds.